GGAAGGCUGGCCAGGCACUGGGCUGCCCCAGCUGUUUCUGAUGCCCUCCCCCAGGAUUCCUCUGGGUGGCACGAAGUCUGGCUCUUUUGAAAGGCCAUCACAGCCGCUGACACUUGGCAGACUCUGCAGACGGGAUUUUGACGCUGCGAAUCCCAUUGGGAGGGCCACGCUGGUGACCUCCUUGGAAAGCCAGUGUGAGCUCCUGAGCUCUGGGACUGUUUUCCCUCUGCGUUUCUGGGGUCAUGUGUUAAGCCUUCCGUUAAAGAGCAGUGUCUUUGAAGCGGCUGCUUUGGGCCGGCCUCCUGGUCCCAGGAUGGUUUCUCGGUAUUUGGUGAUCAUGUGACAGAGAGCAGACACUGGAUUCCUCGCCUUUUAGAGUUCAGUGUUUUCUUCAGCUGAAGAAGCUUGUUAUGCUUUAGAAAGAUUUUGCUUUUUAAGUCAUAAAGUGGAGCUUGAAGACUGGAAGAGGGUUUUAUUUUGUGUGUUUCGUUUUAAUGUCUAGACUCUGCACUGGAUGUUUGAAGGGCCUGGGACAGAGGACUCGAGACUGGCGAGACUGGUGUGGGGAGGCUUUGCAGGAUGUCAGUUGGUCCUCAGGGAGUGGCACCGAAGAGUCAGUCUUGGACUCAGAGUUAAUCCCAGACGCAGACAGGUUCGGUGGCUUUCCAUAACCCUCUCUCCUGUCAACCUGUUUUGACUCUUUGAACAGUACCUAAUACCCUCGGAAUGUUCUCAUACAAUAAAUCCUGGGAGAGCAGGGCCUAGGGCAUCCUCACCCUGUACCCCAGUACCUACAACUGUGUGCGGCAUGGAGCGUGUGAAGGAAUGAAUGGAGAUGCAUUGGAAACGUUGGCUGUAAUGAAAAAUUCUCUACAUCAAAGUCCAUUUACUGAUUCUCAUUUUAAACCAAGAACUCAGUGUCUCCUGUUCCCCCCCAAGUCGCCCGAGAACAAGGCAAUGAGAAGGCCCGUGUCUGUCCUGGAAAAUGUGUGCUGAGCAAGGAAUUCCAGGGAGAAGGAAAAGCUGAGGAAUUUGACACUGACACGGAAGUCCAGGCUGAGCACAGACCGUGUAACCAUUUACCAAUGGAUUUUGACCGUCAGGGAAUGAUUCCAAGUGCUUUCUGAUCCUGUCGGGAUCAAGAGAAAACCAGUAGUUGCUUUUUAAAAAAAUGUGAUGCUCACAUGAUUGGAGUUUCAUUUUGUUUAAUUUUUAACCGACAGUACCCCCUUUGAGCUUGCUUCUGGAAAGAAAAUUGUGUUUACAGGUGACCUGCUGUUUAUCAGAGCCAGCAUGCCGGUGGGCAGAGGGAAGGCAGCGCAGGGCUUCGCAGAGAUGUCACAGUUUCCCUUGGAUGAUUCCUAUGUGGAAGCCCUGACCCCAGUGUGAUGGUUUUGGAGGUGAGCCUUUGGGAGGUGAUCAGGGUUGAUGAGGUCCUGAGGUGGGGACCACCAUGAUGGAGUCAGGUCCUGAUAAGAAGAGUCACCAGAGAGCCACACCCCCGACCCCACGGGAAGAGACGGCUCCCACCAGACACCGAAUCUGCCUGCCUCGUGCUCUUGGACUUGCAGUCUCCAGAACUGUGAGAAAUAAGUGAUCGUCAUUAAAGCCACCCAGACGGUGGAGACACUACAUGGUUUGAGAAGAUGAGCGCUCAGCCACCAGGUUUGCCGGCCAAAUGGUGCAUUGGGACAAUAGGAGGGUCUGCAUGGGGGACCCACAGAGCCACUCGGACGUGGGGUGCACAGAAAGCAGGGGGAGAGAAGUGCGAACGUCAGCUAGUCCCUUGUUGCUUUCAACUGACUUUCUAAGACUGAAGGAUGUAGAUGUUAGCUUGUCAUCACGGCUCUGACUUACUUGUUUCCCAAGACGAGGCAAGACCACAGCCUGGCGGGGAAGCAGGUACAGUGUGAACUAUUAGAUGACCAGCUUCGGUAGGAUAUCCUUUCCCGUCGCAUUGCUCAGAGGUACUGUGCUUCUGGAAAUUGCCUUCACUUGGAAUAUUACUGCCAUUUCAAAAGGGAGGGGGGAAAACACAUUCCCCUUUUCAUUAGUUUGCACCUCACUCCUCUAAAGCACUGAAGUCACAUAAUAAGCCUCUAAAAGUUUCUUUCUGGGAAGCACUCCUUACGAUGCCUGGAAAUUUCUGAUUUAUCACCUGAAGAAAACCAGCAUUUUCAGAGCUAGUCUGCGAUUGAUCAGGAUGUUGGGAAUUUGCCCCAGAAGGGGUGUGCCACUGACACUUGCACUAAAAUGAAAAUCUUAGUGUUUAGUUCCUCCUGUCGCCUAUAAAGCCACUCUGCCUCCCACCCCCCCAGAUGCUGCUUCAGUUGGGAGAGAGCCUGGUUCCUUCCUCGCCAGCUCAAGGCUCAGAGCGUUUCACUCUUCUUGCUGCGUAGGUGAUGCUUUCGAAGGGAGUUUGAGGAACUGAGGUUAUUUAAUUGGGGGAGAGGUCAGGAGUGACUGAGGGCUGCGUUCAGGUGGUUGCAAGGCUUCGGAUGACCUGCUUGUCUCCUUUUCUGCACGAAGCUGCUUAGUUUCAGCUCCAGGAAGGGGGCCUGGGAGGGCUGCAUCCUGAGACAUGUCAGCCGGGUUCCUAUUUCCGAGAGACGGAGAGGAGACAGACGAGGCUCCCAAGUGAAGAUGUUAAGGGAAACUGUGCCUGGGAACUUCGGAGUCAAGCCUCCUUCCCGAAGAGGACGCCCGAGACAUUCACUGCAGAGAAAACAGCCCUCCUGUCUUGUGAACGAGCUGGUGGGAACUGUCAGGACAAACAUGCGGUGAGAAGUCCGUGUUCCAGGUGGACAGAGGUCUAAAACUGGGGUGACACAGGUUCCGCCCUCCGCUCUGCUGCUGGUUGACUGUGUGUGGACCACAGCGGCGGCAGGGAGGGUGUGGCUGGGCAGACAGGAAUCUUCAUCCUCAGAGCCUCGGAGGCUAGGGAAGCAGGGAGAGUUCUGCUUCCAUCAUCAGAUGUCCUUAAGAAGAGACUCAACAAUAAAGGAACCUCUGUGCACCCAC